rnacentral:tRNA from 1 species
CCUUCGAUAGCUCAGUUGGUAGAGCGGUGGACUGUAGAGAGGCAAUGAGCAAUGCAAAAAUAGUGAUCCAUAGGUCGCUGGUUCAAAUCCGGCUCGAAGGA